GCCUGGGUGGCUCAGUCGGUUGAGCGUCCGACUUCAGCUCAGGUCAUGAUCUCACGGUUCGUGGGUUCGAGCCCCGCAUCGGGCU
rnacentral:tRNA from 1 species